rnacentral:rRNA from 1 species
AGAGUUUGAUCCUGGCUCAGGAUGAACGCUGGCGGUAUGCCUAACACAUGCAAGUCGUACGAGAGUUUUUAACUCUAGUGGCGGACGGGUGAGUAACACGUGAGAAUUUGCCUUUAGGAGGGGGACAACAAUUGGAAACGAAUGCUAAUACCCCAUAUGCUUUCGAGUGAAAUGGAUUUUAUCCGCCUAGAGAGAAGCUCGCGGCUGAUUAGCUUGUUGGUAAGGUAAGAGCUUACCAAGGCGACGAUCAGUAUCUGGUUUGAGAGGACGAUCAGACACACUGGAACUGAGACACGGUCCAGACUCCUACGGGAGGCAGCAGUGGGGAAUUUUCCGCAAUGGGCGAAAGCCUGACGGAGCAAUACCGCGUGAGGGAAGAAUGCCUAUGGGUUGUAAACCUCUUUUUUCAGGGAGGAAUAAAAUGACGUGUACCUGAAGAAUAAGCAUCGGCUAACUCCGUGCCAGCAGCCGCGGUAAG